AGCUGAGUGGCGCAGCGGAAGCGCGGUAAGCUAUCACAUCUGAUCACACCAGUCAAGCAGCUACUAACAUGUAAUAGCCGGGCUCAUAACCCGGAGGACAGUGGAUCGAAACCACUCUCAGCUA